GUGAGGUAACGGCCUACCAAGGCAUCGACGGGUAGCUGGUCUGAGAGGAUGAUCAGCCACACUGGGACUGAGACACGGCCCAGACUCCUACGGGAGGCAGCAGUGGGGAAUCUUGCGCAAUGGGCGAAAGCCUGACGCAGCAACGCCGCGUGCGGGAAGAAGGCUCUCGGGUUGUAAACCGCUUUCAGCAGGAACGAAACUGACGGUACCUGCAGAAGAAGGUGCGGCCAACUACGUGCCAGCAGCCGCGGUGACACGUAGGCACCAAGCGUUGUUCGGAUUUAUUGGGCGUAAAGAGCUCGUAGGCGGUUCAGUAAGUCGGGUGUGAAAACUCAGGGCUCAACUCUGAGACUGCACCCGAUACUGCUGUGACUUGAGUACGGUAGGGGAACGGGGAAUUCCUGGUGUAGCGGUGAAGUGCGCAGAUAUCAGGAGGAACACCGGUGGCGAAGGCGCCGCUCUGGGCCGAAACUGACGCUGAGGAGCGAAAGCGUGGGUAGCAAACAGGAUUAGAUACCCUGGUAGUCCACGCCGUAAACGUUGGGCACUAGGUGUGGGUUCCAACCAACGGGAUCCGUGCCGUCGCUAACGCAUUAAGUG
rnacentral:rRNA from 1 species